rnacentral:lncRNA from 1 species
GGCUGCGCGGCGCGGGCUGCAGGGUGCUGCUAGCCGCCGGGAGCCCCCGCCCCGCCCCUAUGGCCGCCCCGCCGGAGUGAUUCGCCGUGCGGCUGCGCCCAGCUACCUGCCGCGCCCUCCGCCAAGGAAGUGCCCGGUGGUGUGCAAGGCUGGCCGACAUGAGGGCGUGACUCGCCGCUGCUGGAUUCCCGGCCCCCCGCGCCCGGAGCCCUCGCAGCCCGAGCUGGGUCCAGCUGAAGCAGGACAGGCGAAGGAAGGAGGAGCGCAGCCGGUCAGUUUUCAGAUGAAUAAGCACGGAGUGAGCACGGGGCUGUCGUUUUUCUCAGGCAGCGAUCUGAGAUAGGGCCGAGCUAGCUGACCUCAGCUGCUGGUGUGGAAGCAGUAAGUUACCUUUAGUCUUACCCAGGCAGACCUGAGUGUAUUUGCUUUUAUCGGCUGACAAUUGGAAUUACUGUACCUGAGAGUCAAAGGUGCUGAUCCAGACUUCUCUGGAUUAAGCCGUUGGGUGAUUGAUGCUCCUUGAACAUGCCCUAUUGUGAG